rnacentral:rRNA from 1 species
UACGUAGGGUGCGAGCGUUGUCCGGAAUUAUUGGGCGUAAAGAGCUCGUAGGCGGUGUGUCACGUCGGCCGUGAAAACCUGCAGCUUAACUGUGGGCGUGCGGUCGAUACGGGCAUCACUGGAGUUCGGCAGGGGAGACUGGAAUUCCUGGUGUGGCGGUGAAAUGCGCAGAUAUCAGGAGGAACACCGGUGGCGAAGGCGGGUCUCUGGGCCGAUACUGACGCUGAGGAGCGAAAGCGUGGGGAGCGAACAGG